GCCUGUCGUUUAUUUAAAUAGGCAACAACUGGUAAUAAAAUGUGUACAAAAUUGAGAAGAAGCAUGUGAAAUAACUACAACCAUCUUGAUUCAUGUCUCCAAUGCCAUGAUCACUGCAGAUGCUCCCAUAUUCAGUAACUGUGCGUUUGUAAACAGUGCUUGCACAAAGGUUAGUGGAAGCAGGAAAGCAGCAGCGAGAAAGAAGAAGAUUGCUCAUGGAGUAUUGGCAUUAUAAAUGUGCCUCAACUUGGCCUUUCGCUUAUUACGACGCCCAAUGCAAUGCAAACUUUAUUGAUAACUGAUUAGGAGAUGAUCUUCAUUACCC
rnacentral:lncRNA from 1 species